GACGAACGCUGGCGGCGUGCUUAACACAUGCAAGUCGAACGGAAAGGCCCUGCUUUUGUGGGGUGCUCGAGUGGCGAACGGGUGAGUAACACGUGAGUAACCUGCCCUUGACUUUGGGAUAACUUCAGGAAACUGGGGCUAAUACCGGAUAGGAGCUCCUGCUGCAUGGUGGGGGUUGGAAAGUUUCGGCGGUUGGGGAUGGACUCGCGGCUUAUCAGCUUGUUGGUGGGGUAGUGGCUUACCAAGGCUUUGACGGGUAGCCGGCCUGAGAGGGUGACCGGCCACAUGGGGACUGAGAGACGGCCCAGACUCCUACGGGAGGCAGCAGUGGGGAAUAUUGCACAAUGGGCGGAAGCCUGAUGCAGCAACGCCGCGUGCGUGAUGACGGCCUUCGGGUUGUAAACCGCUUUCGCCUGUGACGAAGCGUGAGUGACGGUAAUGGGUAAAGAAGCACCGGCUAACUACGUG
rnacentral:rRNA from 1 species